AGUCGUAACAAGGUAUCCGUAGGUGAACCUGCGGAUGGAUCAUUAGCAAAGCAAAUAUAGUUUUGUAAGUAUUGUGAACAGUUUUGAAUGUGGGCAGCAGUUGGGUGUUUUAUCGGUGUAUGUUGAUGUAUGUUGAUGUAUAUGUCGAUGAAGGGCUGGCUGCGCCGGGUUUGUACACGUAUUGUGCGCGACGACUGACGUCUACUUUAGUAGUGUAAAGUACAGACAACUUUUAGCAACGGAUCUCUUGGCUCUC
rnacentral:misc_RNA from 1 species